rnacentral:lncRNA from 1 species
CCAAUUCUAAUAUAAAAUAAACAUAUAUAUCAAUGACAAUACAACUCAUUUUAAUUUCAAUUAUUAUAACUAAAGUAAAUAAUUUAUUCUGAUUCUCAUUCUCCAUUCUAAUUUCAACAUGUUCUAAUGCCAAUCCAUUUCUAUUACAGCCUAUUCUAAUUAACGAUUAUUAAAGACGCUAUAAGUUCUAAAGUUUAUCCCCCACAUCAGCCAAGGGUUUUUUUCGGAAAUGAGCCUGUUCUGUAC